CUCGCCGGACAUACGGAGCCUGGGGAGGGUGUGCGGGGGAAGAAGGAACCACCGCCUCGGAUGGCUGCCGGGGGGCAGGCCACCCCCAUCACCCGCCAAACAGCACAGGGCCCCCCAGGGAACAACACGCACCCUGGGCGCCCUGCAUGUUCGAACUGCUGGGUUCAGCGGUGAAGAGUGUGUGGAUUCCUGUUCACCUGGACUUACCGGCCGACUGGCUGGUGAUCAUCACACAAGCGUAACUGUCAUGAAAACGAGAGCCGGUCCUGAAGACAAGGGAGGGGAGAGCCUCAGUCCAGACCGUCCAGAGAGGACUUCCAAGGAGGGGAAUCCGAGCCCAGCCUGAGGGGCCCCCUGAAAAGACCAGGGGGAAGAGAUCUGAGGCGGGGGGACAGGACGAGCCGAGGCCCUGAGGCAGGACUGAACUCGGAGGGCACUGGAUGCAGCAAGACCACACAGGGAGAUGGUCGUCUCAGGACCAGAAGGUUCCAGCACGGCUGAGGCCAGGUUCACAUCUGGGAUGCCCCCCCUGCUGCAGCUGGAGCCCAGGUCGGGGCGGCGGGAGGGGAGCAGGGAGGAGCGAGAGGCGUCCCAGAAACACAGCCUUCGACCACGUUACUCAACAGGUGGUGUGCGGACCAGGCGCACAGCAUCACCUGGGAACCUGCGGAAACCCAGGCGCACGCCCCCCGCCCAACCCCCGACACCGACCGACUGAAUCAGACCCCCAGGGGUGCAGCCCAGAGGCCAGGAUCUCAGCAGGUGAUGCUGAUGCCUGCCCACGAUGGACCAGCUCUGAUUCGACUUUGGACGGAGGUAGAGACAGUGAUUGGGUUGAAGGCACAAGAAUCUGCUUAGUGAGACCCCAGCAGCAGCAUCACAGGUGGCACUGCGUUUCCGUCAAGGGGGACUUGAGAUGGGGACCUCGGCCCCGCCAAAACAGACGAGCAGCUGGGAACGCCAGGGGGGCUGCCUCCCCGCCUGCCCCCAAACCCGGGACACUUCGGUUCAACACUCGACUCCACAGAAAACGGAAAUUCAAUUGACAUAACUGUUGGAUGGUGAGAAAAAGCUAAUGGCCCAGCUCCUCGGCGUCCCAGGCUCCGGCCGCAAAGAGAGGGGGCGUCCAAGCAGGUGAGUCUGUGCAGGUGAGUCCGGGUACGUUGGUCGCUCUUCCCAGGUAAACCCGGUUCCGAGCCUCAACCCUCUUUAGCCCAAAACACCUGGGGAAAGUCGACUGUCUGGUUUUGCUUGAGAGGCAACUCCUCCCAGAGACUCCCUCCCAGCUCCCUGUCUGUGGUGCCCGGGUCACGUGGACCAGCCCCACGGGGUCAGCAGCCACUCCUCAGGGGAGGCCAGCCGCCAGCCAGGUUCCCUCCUCGGA